rnacentral:rRNA from 1 species
AUGUACAUGCCGCGCCAGCAGGAAAAGGGAAAAAAAAAACACGCGAAAAGAGGAGGAGGAGGAGGAAGAAUUCCAUCGACAGCCCUCCCUCGGAACUAUCGGAUCUCGGGAAGAAGAUAUAUCCAUCGCUGGCACCCGUCGUCUUCCUCCCCCUUCUUCCCCAUCCCAUCUUCGUCCACUCGCGAGCUCGCCAUUAAUCCCACUCCACUCGGCUCCAGAGGGCCGGCCGGCGGCCUCCGCUCGAAGUCGAAGGUGCGACGACGUCGUUUUCCACCCGUCCCCACGUCAGCCACUCCACUCCCGGAAGGUCCCCCUCUCGCCCCCCGUUAA